rnacentral:rRNA from 1 species
UCCUGCAAGCCACCGCGAACACGUUUUGAAAUCCGCGGGCCGUCGGCGCGCUCAGGUUCGCCGGCGCCCGCACCUAACUCAACUUCCGGCGCGGAUUGCGCCAAGGACUACUUAAACGGAUCGUCCGCGUCCCGCUGCGGAUUCCGCAGGCAGGGCGCGGGGCGUCUGAAUCGUAACCAAUACGACUCUCGGCAACGGAUAUCUAGGCUCUCGCAUCGAUGAAGAACGUAGCGAAAUGCGAUACUUGGUGUGAAUUGCAGAAUCCCGUGAACCAUCGAGUUUUUGAACGCAAGUUGCGCCCGAAGCCAUUAGGCUGAGGGCACGUCUGCCUGGGCGUCACGCAUCGUCGCCACCCCCCACYGCGCUCCGGCGCAUCGGGCCGGGUGACGGAUGUUGGCCUCCCGUGCCCCCGCGGCGCGGCCGGCCUAAAUCCGAGUCCUCCGCACGGGACGUCACGGCAAGUGGUGGUUGAAAACCUCAACUCGAUCGAAGCCGUGACCGAAUCCGUUGGGCAGAGCUCGCGCAAGACCCCGGAGCCUUCGGGCCCUCGACCAUGACCCCAGGUCAGGCGGGACUACCC